AAAAUGUUGGAAAAACUGGGCUUCUUGCUUCGAAAAACUGGAAGAACUAGAAUUUGGUGUUAGGGACAUGAAUCUUUUUUUCUUCAUAUUUCUAGUUCUCUCUGUAAAAUUUAUUGUGUAAAACCUCAACAUCUUCUCUGAGUCUCUCAUUUUCUGCUUCAAAGCACUCAAUCUUUUUCCUACACCGCUCGAUUUCCGAAUCUUUGUUUAAGAUCUCGUUUUCAAGAACCGAAACAAUGGCGACUGACUCUCAUAGAAGCUUUUGUUCUAAGAGUUCAGUUUUGAAACGGGACUCUCGGUAAUGUAGUUCUUCGACGAGGCGGAGGAGCUCGCUGAUGUCAGGCGGGCGGGGCUGGACCUGGGUGGAGGCGCAUGGUAAGUAAACGCCGAAUGAACAUGAGAAUACAGCGCCAUUUCCCUUCUGGUUUUGCUGCUUCUGUUUCCCAGAAUUCGACAUGGAUGAUGGUGGUGGCUUAUGCGAUAUCUCUGUCCUGACGAUUUUUGAAAACCCAUUACCUCUUUUACAUUCCCAGCAACCAUUGUUGUCCGUCCCUCUACAAGUUUCUAACGUUCGGUUAAUUAUAUGAAAUAAUAUUUGAUGGGUUUGUAGAGGUAAUUGGUUUGAUUUUGAAUUGAGAUUAUGAGCUUAAACUGGAAAGUUGGUUCUAACAUCCCUAACACCAAAAGGAAGAAAAAGAGAUUGAAAAAUGGAAGAAAAAGAGAUUCAUGUCCCUAACACCAAAUUCCAGUUCUUCCAGUUUUUCGAAGCAAGAAGCCCAGUUCUUCCAGCAUUUUUUGUUGGGAAAAUUGCAGCAGUGGUGGGAUGGGGGAAGAAGAAGAUGAAUAGUUGUUUCUUUUAUUUUUA
rnacentral:lncRNA from 1 species